UACGUAGGAUCCAAGCGUUGUCCGGAUUUACUGGGUGUAAAGGGUGCGCAGGCGGACUUGUAAGUCAGGGGUGAAAUCUCACAGCUCAACUGUGAAACUGCCUUUGAUACUGCAAGUCUUGGAUCCAGAAGAGAGUUGUGGAAUUCCGAGUGUAGCAGUGAAAUGUGUAGAUAUUCGGAAGAACACCAGUGGCGAAGGCAAGCAACUUGGUCUGGUAUCGACGCUCAGGCACGAAAGCAUG
rnacentral:rRNA from 1 species